CCAGUCAGGCUGGAUAGCUCAGUUGGUUAGAGCAUGGUGCUAAUAAUGCCAAGGUUGCAGGUUCAAUCCCUGUAUGGGAUGACUGCA